UCGCACGAGAAAGCCUGAAGCUUGCUUUAGGCGAGUAAAGUGGCGCACGGGUGAGUAAGGCACGGAUAAUCUACCUUUGAGUUCGGGAUAACACUUCGAAAGAGGUGCUAAUACCGGAUGAUAUCAUGAGUGCUGCGGCAUUUAUGAUCAAAGAUGGCCUCUGCAUGCAAGCUGUUGCUCAGAGAUGAGUCCGCGUACCAUUAGCUUGUUGGUGGGGUAAGGGCCUACCAAGGCGACGAUGGUUAGCUGGUCUGAGAGGAUGAUCAGCCACACUGGCACUGACACACGGGCCAGACUCCUACGGGAGGCAGCAGUGAGGAAUUUUGCGCAAUGGGGGAAACCCUGACGCAGCAACGCCGCGUGAGUGAAGAAGGCCUUCGGGUCGUAAAGCUCUGUCGAGUGGGAAGAACCCUUGCCGGAUUAAGAGUCUGGCGAGCUGACGGUACCACUUAAGGAAGCACCGGCUAACUCCGUGCCAGCAGCCGCGGUAAUACGGAGGGUGCAAGCGUUAUUCGGAAUUACUGGGCGUAAAGGGCGCGCAGGCGGCUUGAUAAGUCAGUUGUGAAAGCCCGGGG
rnacentral:rRNA from 1 species